UAAACUAGGAUUAGAUACCCUAUUAUUUUAAAUGUAAAUUUUUAAUACUAAAUUAGUAUUAGUUAUAUUCUUGAAAAUUAAAAAAUUUGGCGGUAUUUUAGUCUUUUCAGAGGAACCUGUUCUGUAAUUGAUAGUCCACGAUUAUAAUUAUUUUAUUUAUUAGUUUACAUAUCGUCGUAGUUUAAAUAUUUUAAUAGAAAUUUAAUAUUUAAGAUUUUAUAUAAAAAAUUAAAUCAGAUCAAGGUGUAGUUUAUAAUAAAGUAGAAAUGGGUUACAAUUAUGAUAAUUAAAGGAUAAUUUUUUUUAAAAAAAUUUGAAUGUGGAUUUGAUAGUAAUUUUAUAUAUUUAUUUAAUUUGAUUAUAGCUCUAAAAUAUGUACACAUCGCCCGUCGCUCUUAA
rnacentral:rRNA from 1 species